rnacentral:rRNA from 1 species
AUAGGGGAGCCGCAGGGAAACCGAGUCUUAACCGGGCGUUAAGUUGCAGGGUAUAGACCCGAAACCCGGUGAUCUAGCCAUGGGCAGGUUGAAGGUUGGGUAACACUAACUGGAGGACCGAACCGACUAAUGUUGAAAAAUUAGCGGAUGACCUGUGGCUGGGGGUGAAAGGCCAAUCAAACCGGGAGAUAGCUGGUUCUCCCCGAAAGCUAUUUAGGUAGCGCCUCGUGAACUCAUCUUCGGGGGUAGAGCACUGUUUCGGCUAGGGGGUCAUCCCGACUUACCAACCCGAUGCAAACUGCGAAUACCGGAGAAUGUUAUCACGGGAGACACACGGCGGGUGCUAACGUCCGUCGUGAAGAGGGAAACAACCCAGACCGCCAGCUAAGGUCCCAAAGUCAUGGUUAAGUGGGAAACGAUGUGGGAAGGCCCAGACAGCCAGGAUGUUGGCUUAGAAGCAGCCAUCAUUUAAAGAAAGCGUAAUAGCUCACUGGUCGAGUCGGCCUGCGCGGAAGAUGUAACGGGGCUAAACCAUGCACCGAAGCUGCGGCAGCGACGCUUAUGCGUUGUUGGGUAGGGGAGCGUUCUGUAAGCCGUUGAAGGUGGCCUGUGAGGGUUGCUGGAGGUAUCAGAAGUGCGAAUGCUGACAUAAGUAACGAUAAAGCGGGUGAAAAGCCCGCUCGCCGGAAGACCAAGGGUUCCUGUCCAACGUUAAUCGGGGCAGGGUGAGUCGACCCCUAAGGCGAGGCCGAAAGGCGUAGUCGAUGGGAAACAGGUUAAUAUUCCUGUACUCGGUGUUACUGCGAAGGGGGGACGGAGAAGGCUAUGUUGGCCGGGCGACGGUUGUCCCGGUUUAAGCAUGUAGGCGGGUGUUCCAGGUAAAUCCGGAACGCUGUUAACGCUGAGGUGUGAUGACGAGGCACUACGGUGCUGAAGCAACAAAUGCCCUGCUUCCAGGAAAAGCCUCUAAGCAUCAGGUAACAUCAAAUCGUACCCCAAACCGACACAGGUGGUCAGGUAGAGAAUACCAAGGCGCUUGAGAGAACUCGGGUGAAGGAACUAGGCAAAAUGGUGCCGUAACUUCGGGAGAAGGCACGCUGAUGGUAGGUGAAGUGAUUUACUCAUGGAGCUGAAAUCAGUCGAAGAUACCAGCUGGCUGCA